GUCAGUAUGUCCGAGUGGUUAAGGAGACAGACUUGAAAUCUGUUGCGUUCUACGCUCACAGGUUCAAAUCCUGUUGCUGACG